ensembl:snRNA U6 U6 spliceosomal RNA
GUGCUCGCUUUGGCAGCACGCAUACUAAACUUGGAAUGAUACCGAGAAGAUUAGCAUGGCCCUUGAGCAAGGAUGACACACAAAUUCGUAAAGUGUUCUGUAUUUAA